GGAGCAGGAUCCAGAGUACCACGAGACACGAGGAACCUUGUGGGAAGCAGGGGGGACCACCCUCCAAGGCGAAACACUGAUAUAGACCGAUAGCGCAUAGUACCGUGAGGGAAAGGUGAAAAGAACCCCGGGAGGGGAAUGAAAGAGAACCUGAAACCGUAUGUCUACAAGCAGUCGGAGCACUAUAUACGUGCGACGGCGUGCCUAUUGAAGAAUGAACCGGCGAGUUACUUCGUCCAGCGAGGUUAAGCAGGAAAUGCGGAGCCGCAGCGAAAGCGAGUCUGAAGAGGGCGAGAAGUUGGAGGGAGUAGACCCGAAACCACAGUGAUCUACCCAUGUCCAGGUUGAAGCACAGGUAAAAAUGUGUGGAGGACCGAACCAGUGAGCGUUGAAAAGCUUUUGGAUGAGAUGUGGGUAGGGGUGAAAUGCCAAUCGAACGUGGAGAUAGCUGGUUCUCCCCGAAAUAGCUUUAGGGCUAGCCUCAUGGAGAGAGUACAGGCGGUAGAGCACUGAACAGGGUAGGGGCCUAUCCGGCUACUGAACCUAAUCAAACUGCGAAUGGCUGUACUUAUACAUGGGAGUCAGACUGCGAGUAAUAAGACCCGUAGUCAAGAGGGAAACAGCCCAGACCAACAGCUAAGGUCCCCAAUGCCGUACUAAGUGGUGAAGGAUGUGGAAUUUCGAAAACAACCAGGAUGUUGGCUCAGAAGCAGCCACCAUUAAAAGAGUGCGUAAUAGCUCACUGGUCGAGAGACUCUGCGCCGAAGAUGACCGGGGCUGAAGUACGGAACCGAAGCUUUGGCAUGUAUGUAGAUACAUGGGUAGGGGAGCGUUCCUGCAUGGGAGAAGCGGUACCGGAAGGAGCCGUGGACAGGCAGGAAGAGAGAAUGCCGGUAUGAGUAGCGAAAAGAAAGGUGAGAAUCCUUUCCACCGAAAGCCUAAGGGUUCCUGGGCAACGCUCGUCGACCCAGGGUAAGUCGGGACCUAAUCCGAGGCGGAGACGCGUAGGAGAUGGACAACAGGUUGAGAUUCCUGUACUGCAG
rnacentral:rRNA from 1 species